UUGGAGGGCAGUCUGGUGCCAGCAGCCGCGGUAAUUCCAGCUCCAAUAGCGUAUAUUAAAGUUGUUGCAGUUAAAAAGCUCGUAGUUGAAUUUCGGGAUCAGAUUGUCGGUCGUGCCUCGGUACGCACUGGUAUUAUUGGUUCCUACCUUCUGAAGAACCGCGAUGUCAUUAAUUUGGUGUCGUGGGGAAUCAGGACUGUUACUUUGAAAAAAUUAGAGUGCUUAAAGCAGGCAAGUGCCUGAAUAGGUUAGCAUGGAAUAAUAAAAUAGGACGGCAUGGUUCUAUUUUGUUGGUUUCUAGGAUCACCGUAAUGAUUAAUAGGGAUAGUUGGGGGCAUUAGUAUUCAAUUGUCAGAGGUGAAAUUCUUGGAUUUAUUGAAGACUAACUUCUGGGAAAGCAUUUGCCAAGGAUGUUUUCAUUAAUCAAGAACGAAAGUUAGGGGAUCGAAGACGAUCAGAUACCGUCGUAGUCUUAACCAUAAACUAUGCCGACUAGGGAUCGGAUGAUGUUAAUUUUUUAAUGACUCAUUCGGCGCCUUACGGGAAAC
rnacentral:rRNA from 1 species